GCAACUCGCCUACAUGAAGUCGGAGUUGCUAGUAAUCGCGGAUCAGAAUGCCGCGGUGAAUGCGUUCCCGGGUCUUGUACACACCGCCCGUCACACCAUGGAAGUUGGGGGCGCCCGAAGUUGCCUAAGAAAUAAGGUACCUAAGGCGAAACCAAUGACUGGGGUGAAGUCGUAACAAGGUAGC
rnacentral:rRNA from 1 species